UACGGAGGGUGCAAACGUUGCUCGGAAUCAUUGGGCGUAAAGCGCACGUAGGCGGCUUUGUAAGUCGGAUGUGAAAUCCCUCGGCUUAACCAAGGAAGUGCAUCCGAAACUACAGAGCUUGAGUACUUAAGAGGAUCGCGGAAUUCCCGGUGUAGAGGUGAAAUUCGUAGAUAUCGGGAGGAACACCAGUGGCGAAGGCGGCGAUCUGGGAAGAUACUGACGCUGAGGUGCGAAAGCGUGGGGAGCAAACAGG
rnacentral:rRNA from 1 species